ACGAGUAUCUCACCCUGCUAGUGUACCUAACCGUCUUAACCUAUACUUAAACGUCCUUACUUUUGAAGUAUUUGACGAGUUAAACGAGCCGUUGUCAAGUAAAACGACUGUAUAAAAAAAAAGGGAAAAAACUCAAUAAACGACCGUCUCGAAAUAUAUUACCGUCGUUGCCAUGUUGCCAUGUACCUAAAGGACCCCGUUUGAAGUGACGUCUGCCCGGUGUUCCUUCGGCACUAGACCGCGAAUGUAACAAAACAGACGCACCAACGAUGAACCAACCAAUCGCGUCAGUUCCGAAUGUCGAAAAAUGCCAUCCUUUAGAACAGACGAACUCAAAGCGACGACGGAGACUUGACACGGAUUCGAGUGGUUCGACGUCUAUGCUCGGUGCCGGAUUAAGGGGUCAGCGUGAGAAGGGGUUGGAUUACACUCCUCCCCACUUAAGAUAUCUGGUUCAUUUUAG